CCUACGGGAGGCAGCAGUGGGGAAUAUUGCGCAAUGGGCGAAAGCCUGACGCAGCGACGCCGCGUGAGGGUUGACUGCCCUAUGGGUUGUAAACUUCUUUUAUAUGGGAAUAAAGUGCAGUAUGUAUACUGCUUUGCAUGUACCUUAUGAAUAAGGAUCGGCUAACUCCGUGCCAGCAGCCGCGGUAAUACGGAGGAUCCGAGCGUUAUCCGGAUUUAUUGGGUUUAAAGGGAGCGUAGGCGGGUUGUUAAGUCAGUUGUGAAAGUUUGCGGCUCAACCGGAAAAUUGCAGUUGAUACUGGCAUCCUUGAGUACAGUAGAGGUAGGCGGAAUUCGUGGUGUAGCGGUGAAAUGCUUAGAUAUCACGAAGAACUCCGAUUGCGAAGGCAGCCUGCUGGACUGUAACUGACGCUGAUGCUCGAAAGUGUGGGUAUCAAACAGGAUUAGAUACCCCAGUAGUC
rnacentral:rRNA from 1 species